GGAUGAUAAACAUGCAACAAUUUAUUCUAAACCACUGUAUACAAUAGAUUUGAAAAGGUCUGAGCUACAAGAAUAAAAAGAUAAGGAGAGAGAGGACAGCCUUAUCUUAGACCAGGAGUAAUGGUGAACCAAUGAGUAGGUGAUCCAUUAAUAAACAGAGUAAACUGGGGAUAUUGAACACACAGUUUAAUCCAAUUGAUAAAC
rnacentral:lncRNA from 1 species